GGAAGGAAAAAGAAAAGUUACCCUGGGAGAUGAAUCUUUAGGUAUUAUACAGUUUAAUGUUGUCUAAAACGUGAAUUGCAAACUUAUCAAUUUACUGCUUAUAGAGCCAUAAUCCUCCAAACAACUGGACCCACUUCUUCAGUGACAAAAUCUGCUACUGUAUUUGUCCAUCACACAAGGUCAUCUGAUAAAUGUGGCUGAAAAUGGGUCAAUGGGUGUUUCUUUUUUUGUUACUGAAGGUAUAAAUUAGUAAUCCAUUUUCAGAUCUCCUCUUAGUGAUGAUGAAACUUUUCAGUAAGAGGGAAGAGGCUUGUGGUUGAGAGACAAAAAUAGGCACAUCUAAAAGGACGCUACAGAAACAGACUCACGGCUUUAUGGAAUUUAUUGAGGAAACAAAAAAUAUCACCAAUGGAAAACUGUAAAAUAACUAUAAUAAAAUUGCUUCUGUUCUAACAUUUUGGCUGCCGUCAUGUCGGCUUUUGCUGUAGCAAGAACUGUCAAAGUUUUCUUCUUAUCGAGGCUGCGAUACUGCAUCAAACAGGCACGCAUAUCUGCACAUUAGUGAUGAAUAAUAUAAAUAUAUAAAAUAAAAUACUAGAAUUACACUCACCAAAACCUAAGUGCAGUUCUUUCGAUAGUCCGUUAGCUAAUUUGUCACAUAAUCCCUCCAAACUGCACAUAUUAUAGUGAGGUCAUAGGAAUGGAGGAGUUGAAAGAGGAGAGAAGGAAGGGACAUAUAAAGAAAAAAGCAAAACCAUCCAGCGUGUCCUUUCUUAUCCCGUUGAGCUGGCUCUACAGCGUUGGGUGCUGUGCAUCUGUGGUGUGGUCCACCUGUCUUCACAGAGCAUUCAAACCUCAGUCGCUGUGAUGGUUAUCACCCACACACCUGGGCUCAUGUGACCCUUAAUCACUCGUAUGAUCACAUGAUCAGUAGUGGGUCAACGAGCCUGGAGGCCACCUCCAACGGGUCAGUAGGGGUGAAGUAGCUGGCACUCUCCAGUUGUUUUAAAGCUGAAGAAGCCUCUUGGGUUAGAGAUGAAACAAUGUGGAUGACUGACAACCUAUACGGACCAAUGACACAUUGCAAAUAAUCAAAUUAGGGUUGCAAAGAAAGUUUAGAGUGGUCAUUAUUCACAGAAUUGAUUAAAUCGAAGCAACUAAUCCUUGACGGCUGUGCUGAGUGCACAGAUUCAUGACACAUGCAAACACCAGUUUCCUCUGUUGAUCCCAGUUAAUAAACGUCUGUAAUUCCAGCUGAUUUACUCUUACUUUUUCGCAUAAUUCUGCACAUUCAUGUUUAUAGAUGGGACCAGCCAGUGAAGGACCAAUGCCUAGAUUUAUAAUCUGGGCAUCCUAUGAGCUUCUUAACCUUUUAAACAUUAGUUUGACAUUUUAGGGAAAGAGGCUUAUUUGAUGUCUUGCUGAGUAUUAGAUAAGAAGACUGAUACCACUGUCAUAUCUGCAAAGUAAAUAUGAAAUCAGAGAACAAGGGAAGCUGCGCAGAACUCAUUGAAAAGCUUGCACUUCUUAAAUAUUUUUAUAAAGUGAUUAAGAAAGAUAUGAGUUCUUUAGUCAGCUUAAUAGGUCCUGGUAGGUGGGUCGGCAGAUUUCAUUAGGCUUUGCAUGUGUCUUUCUGUCAAUUUGCCCUUGAAAAUGAAGUUAAAUUCUACCAUAACCUGAUUACAGGACAGCGCAUUAGAUAAAAAUGCAUUUAAGGUUUUCAGCAGAUUAUUUUUCCACUGAAGAGAAAAUGACAUUGGGCCUUGACCGUCACUGCAAGUUAGUGUCAACCAGUCUAAUCAGGGAAGGUGAAAUGCAGAUUCGCAGAGAUAGCCUUACUUUUUGUAGGCAGAAAUAAUUAAAAUUUACAAAAAGUAGCGGAAAAAAUAACAACUCACACAGCUAAGUACAAAAAUAAAAAUUGCCUCAUUUGAACUGAAAACCACCAGCUGUUGGUUGUAAACAAAUAGAAGGGUGGUAUAGAUCUGUCUUCCAGCUCAGAGCGAAUAAAUGCAUUUUCCCAAUUAUCAUUUUGGCUCCAAUUUAAAAAGAGAUGUCCACUGAAUCAAAGUGCAUAAAAAUUGAUCUGGAUUACUUAUUCCCUUUCCAAAAUCUAUUAAGAAAGGUUUCUGGGCAGACAGUCAAUUUGCAUACUCAACGAUAGUAAAGCAGUAUUAUUAAAUCAAUAUUUGCUGCUGACAGCGCAGAUGCCAAAUCUCAUGCGGGGAUGGGCUUCUGCAGUUUGUUGAUUCUCUUUCGCAGGUUGACUUCUGAUAAUUCCCUGCGCUACCAGGUCGUUUGUCAUCUGUGAGGCAGGAGAUAUUGGUGUGUGGCCUGGGAGUCAAGUGGUUUUUCCCUGCACAUCGCACACACUCCGAACAGUAGCACUGGGGGAGGUUAGAGUUCAGCCCUCAGCCCGGUUUCCUUCAAGUGUCUGACCUCGAACAAAUACAGACACCACCUUCACAUCCUUUUGUACACUCUCCAUGAGCCCUGGCAGUGAACACAUCUCUCCAUCGCCAACCAGAAUUUUCCUUGGUGAACUGUUCCCACUUCUGGUGAGAAGUGGAACUGCAGGAUAGAUUCUAUUCAAGCUGGUGAUGAAUGCAAAACAAGAAGAUGGACAGACGUGAUUAGUAAAGUGCAUCUGCAAUUGAGACUGGAUCCUCAAGCUGCUGGGUCAAGGUGUUACAAACAGCAUCUAAUCACUGAUAGGUGAUUAAGGAAACCUGGUGUGAAGACAGAAAGACGCAAACUAGAAAAACAAGAAUAUCAGACGAGCGAAAUGCCAGCAAAGGGCAACAAAGAAAAAAAAGAUUUAUUCCAAAGUUUUUGUCAAAACAAUCGUUAAUGAUAAGAAAGAUGAAAGCGAUAUAUUGUAAAAGAAGAGUGUAAAUCUUAUUCAGUUAUUCAGUGAGCAUCAGUGCAGCUCCAGGGUGGUUCAGUCAGACUGUUUCUGCAUUUAAUUUCCCAGUAAACUAAUUUAUAUCAAGGGCUUUAUCAAAACUGACACCUGAUUUCAGUUGGUAUUUCUUUUCAUUAGAAUCUGUUAUGGAGCUUACUUGAUAGUUCUCACUUUCUAAUCAAGUGCUAAAUUGCUGGCGCAUCAGGAUUUGGCUCUGGACAGUCAAAAAUGUAAGAAUUAUAACCCGUAAGAGUCUAAAAUACUGUUUUUGGUCAUCCAAAACAUCUUUUUGGGUGACAAUGCCUGAGUUAUCCUAUUUUUAGGUUAAAAUGGGCAAACUCUAUCAAAGAACCUGCAAAAGUAAGCUUUCAAGGAGCUGUUUCUGGUACAAAAUUAAUCAGUAUUUCACUUGAUAAAGAGCACGACUGCUGUUUAGUGAAAUCUAGAUUGCUAAAUCUGCAGUUUCUGGAUUGUUGGAAGAAAAAGUGACUGCACUACAAGAUGUCUAACCCAUGUACAAAAUUCAUACACUGCUAUCAGGUUUACAGUAUGUUGUUUUCAGAGAUAGCUGUAAAAUCCCACUACCUGCCCAUCAUUUAUGAGAAAUUACAAAGUCAGCAAGAGGCUGGUGAAAAAUCGUGGAGCAUAAGGAGUUCAGUGCUACACUAACUCAGAGGACAAAUUCCAUCCCCUCCGCAAACCUCCACAAAUCAGUUUAUCCCACGCUUUAACUUAUUCAACAUCCUCCGAGAUGUUUCUAUUAUCUCAUGGAUGUCAGGUGUGUCAUUCUGAUCCUCUCUUUUUCUCCUCCUUUUUAUUUUUUUACCUUAUUUUUUGCUGGACUUGCAAAAGUUCAGGUCUGCGAAGCAUUCUGUGGAUCGAAGUUACAAUCCACUGUUACAUAAGGGUAAAUAAGGAAAGCUAAGGUAGCCAGAACCAUAACUCAAAUGAUGAUCCAUUGUAACUAUUGGCAAACAUGUUCACAAUAUCCUUUAUCUGACUUUUUUUUGUCAAUGUUUGGCUUGUUCUGCUGCUUCCAUGUGGCCAGAAAACAAACUGUUGUGACCAUUUUUUAACACUCAGGUUAAGUUUAACCCUAAAUCUAAUUUGUCAGAUGCCUGACAUGGAACACAGGGAUCACCGAUUGCCUAAAAACAAAUACAGCAGGAUUUUCUGGCCGACAUUUAGUGUCAAUUAAGCCUUUAACAGUUGGUUUUGUCACAGUCCUGCUGUAACAUCAUGAGAGAUGAAUGUGUUUUCUCUCAGGCAGAGAGAAAGUGUGACAGCUGCAUUUAGGCCCGCAGAGGGGUGUCUGUUUGACUAAACGGCGGCUCUGCCUUAUUUAAAUGAUAUACGGAAAUUAACACCAUCAUUUUGUCGAUUUGAUAUAGUUGGGCGCACAGGGACUGACAGUUAGGAUGUGAGCAUAAUAAGUGUUUAGUCCCACCCUGCAGAGCGCCUGAUUUCUUGCAGAGAAUCCAUCUCGCCAUGUUUUUAAUGAUGUUGCGGCUCAGAGAUGAUAAUUUUCUGUUUUAUUGUUCUUCUGUCAUCAGGCUGCUGUAGCUUAAUGCAUCUCCAGUUUCUUCCAACAAUUUUUUUUCAUUGUUUUAAAUGUGAAGAAACAAAAAAUAUGAUAAUACAUUUGUUAUGUAGUUUAGGAUGGGUAUAAAUGACAACUUCUCAAAUACCAAUCAAAUAAAUAAACCAAUAAAUGAAAUUCCUGGUGUCAUAAAGGAAAAUGUGCGGUAAAAAAAAAUCAUAGUUAAUGUUACAAGAGUUCAGUGUUGCUCUAAAUUAAGGCUGACUGUUCUUGUGCCAAAAAUGCACAAAGUAAAAUGAAACAGUAAAACCUUGAUUGGGAUUUUUUUUUCCAUCAAAACUAUUAAACCAACAAGCUCAUCGUUUACAGCU